GGGGUCAAAGGCUCAAAGCAGGCUUCUUUUCCUUUCCUAGUUCCGAACCUUAAAACAACUGAAAUCAAUUUCAGUCUUAUUCACACAAACAGUCCUUUAAAGGCGCCGGAUCGGGUGCUAUGGAGGAGGUCAUCGUCUCCAUCGAUCCCAUUUCUCGCCAGGUACGGCAAAUUUGGUGUUUGUUGGUUGAAUUAAUAAAUGGGUUCUAGUUGAAAUACAGUAAUGGACUUUCAUUCUUGCAUAAGUUUGAUAUAUGAUUUGGGUUUUCUUAGGGUAAUUUAGUUGGUAAUUUUGCUCUGUGUGGGCUAAAUAAGUUGGAAUAGACUAAAUCAAGAAAGGGUUGAAGAAAUUUGUAUAAAUUGAUGCUCGAAUUAUUGUCUAGAUAAUUGUUGGUCUUAUUUGAUUUCUUCCUAGUAGCCUUUAGCAUAAUCAUUAUGUGUUAUCUCCUUUAUUUUACAUUCAAAUGUAUUGCUUUGAAGGUGGUUAUGUGAUAAUUGGAUUGGAAUGUAAUAAAAAUAAUGUGGCAUUGGAUGAUGAUCAAGAGACAUAAAUAGAAUGUGAAUGUAAUGUUCUAACAAUAUUCUUAUCCCUUCAAAGCAACCAAUCUAAUUAUCUUUCUACUAAUGGGAUUAUUGAGUUGACACAUCUUUGAUUAUUCAUUAACUUCCAACAAAACACAAGUUAUAAUCUUUUGAUCUAAUUUAGCUCAAGCAUUAUCUCCCACAUGCUCAUGAGUUAUGGAGGCUGUUAUGUUUUUCCUUAAUUCUAGUUGAUUAGUUGUUGAAGAUCAACAAGAAGUUCAUAUUCUCAAUGCCUAUGUUCGAUGGACAAUUUUUUUGCUUUCAAACAUGAUUGUGAAUGGAGUUCCAAAGCAAUGUCAGAAAGAUGAGAAGCAUCUGACUGGCCAAAAUCAAAGAGUUAUCUUAUCUAAUCCCUAGACUGAUCCAAUCUUGAUACGAUUUUCAAGGACACGUCCUAGGAUCAACACAGGUUAAGCAAUCACACAUACACGGGUUUAGGAAUGAGGGGGUUAUGAAUUAUGACACCAAACAAAUAUUAGAGCCUGAAGACUAAAUAGAAGAUAAUUGUGUUUAGGGGAAGAAUCUCAAAUUCCCAUUGAACAUGGCCAAAAGGUUAAUAAAUAGUCUUUGAACUUGCAAUGGGUUCAAGGAGCCUUUAUUUGCAUUCUGUCAAAUUAAAACUAACACUGUUCAAAAGGUUCUAAUGGUGUUUUCCUUUUGGUUUCUGAUGCUUGUAUUGUGGUGUAAACCCGCAGCAUUUGCGACCUUACUUCAGUUUUAAUAAAAGUAGGAAGUUUAGAAAAGUAAAAAACAAACAAAAGUUCUAAUGAUGUUAAAUUUUGACAUUUUGUGUGACGGAUGUGUUGAGGAAUGUUGGCUCCUGCGGUGGUAUGCUUAAUCUGGACCAAACGUCAUGCAGUCCGAUAGAGUAUAUGUUAAGAGGCAAUACAAUUUAGCUGCACCAUACUAUUAUGUUUUGGAGCUUGAAAUCGACGGGAUGAGUGAUAUGGGUUUACAAUUCAAGUUCGAUGGGCACAAAGAGCUCAUGGAAAGUUCAGUGGCAUUUUUUAGUCUUUCGUCUUAGUUCAAUGGCUUUUUUGAACUAUUUCCCUUAUGUUUAUUUUGAGUAGAUAGUUAUAUUCAAGAAAUAUUUUUCAGCUGAUACUUACUGUUUUUCUUUGCCAACUGUAAGUAGUGGAGAAACAAUAAUUUUUUUGUAAAUGGUGAAACUCGCUAAAUAGGAAUCAAAUCUUGGAUCUCCUCUUAAGACAUUCUAUUGCUAGCUUUUGACCCUUUCAAUUAUGUUGUAGAUGAAUAAAUAUGAUUAACUAAAUUUUUUGUUUUGUUAGUGAACCGAGAUUUAAUUAGAGUA